rnacentral:rRNA from 1 species
AACUGUCCCUGUCUCUUGCUCAUACAACAAUAUGCCUUCUUCAAUUUUGGUUUCUCCUUUUAUUGAAAAAAUUUUUUUUGGGUGAUGAGGGUUAAAAAAGAAGAAAACUAAAAAAAAAGAAGAUGGCUAAGAUAAACUAAGAUCAGACGACAGACCCUUCGAAACGGCGAAAAGACGCAUUAGUUGUUGCUUCUGCGGAAAAGCGAGCCUGAGGUUUGAAUUGAAACAUCUUAAUACCGAGUAAAAAUCAAACGAGAUUCCGAGAGUAGUGGCGAGCGAAGUUGGAGUUGUGUAAAAAGGGAUCAUAGAUCUAGACUAAACGUUAGUUUAUACUGAUAGUAAGAGUACUGUAAAGGAAAGUUGAAAGAGAGUUGAAAAGAGCUGGAAUCUUUUUUUUUUAAGCAGCUUUAAAACAGCGUACCUUUUGUAUAAUGGGUAAAAGAGAUUAAUUUGGCAUAUUUAAAAACGGAAAAUUAAAAGAAGUUUUUUUUAGUCAAAAUACCCGAAACCAAGUGAUUUAAUCAUGAAUAGUAAACAAGAACGAACUGGUGGUUGUGGCAAAACCCUCAGAAGAUUUGUGAUUAGGGGUGAAAGGCCAAUCGAACUUGGAUAUAGCUGGUUUUUUGCGAAAACUAUUUAAGUAGUGCCCUUUUUGUUUUAUUUUUUUUGUAAUAAAAUAAAAAAUCAAAUAAAAAAAAAGUAGACAACCAAAAAGUGAAAAGAUUUUUUGUUAAAAGAGAAAGCUCAAAGCAGAAGUUAACGUCAUUUGUUUCUUUUUAGUGUAAAAAAAAAACAAGGCUUAGACAAUAAAAAAGUAGGCUUAGAGCCAGCCAUCUUUUAAAAAGUGCGUAGUUGUUUAUUUAAUAAAUUAAAUUUUUUUUUAAUUUUGGUGGGUAAAAUCAAACCAAAACUCUGCAAAUAGAACUUUUUUAUAGCAAAAUAUACCGUUUUUCAGUAGAAACAAUUUUUACAUGGGUAAUCUAAAAUUAUUAUUUUUUUUCUUUAUAUUACCACUUUUGGGUUAUACAGACCCUUAGAGUUUUUUUAUGGGAAAUUUUUUUUUAUAUAUUAUAUCAGGAAAAACCAAAAAGAGGAGCUGUUUUUCUAACUAAAGAAAGAAAAAAAAAAGAGACACAUUUUUUUAAGGAACUCGGCAAAAGAGAACUUCGACUGUUUACCAAAAACAUAGCUUUUUGAUUUUUAUAAAAGGUGAGACCUGCCCUAUGGUUGGAUCUAAAAAAGUUUGUUUUGCUUAUUAAUAAAGACAGCUAAAUGGCCGCGGUAACACUAACUGUGAAAAUGUAGCGUAAUCAAUUGUUAAUUAAUUGUUGACCGGUAUGAAUGGUGUCACGAAAGUUUCUCUGUCUUAAAAAAAUACUUAAUGAAAUUGAAUUUGUAGUGAAGAUGCUACAUUAAAAUUGUAAGACGAGAAGUCCCCAUGGAGCUUUACUGAGGGCUUAGACUUUUCUAUAAGCGGGACAGUUUUGUUGGGGCGACAGUUUUUUAAAAAGUAACAAAAACGAACUAUGGCGUAGCUUCACCCUGAAAAAUUUUUUAAGGGACAUUUUUGGUGUGUUUUAUGAUCCGUUGUUUGGAAUGAAAAAAACAACGAAAACAAAUAAAAGUUACCCUGGGGAUAACAGCGCAAUAACGUUUGAGAGUUAAUCAACGACGGUGUUUGCGACCUCGAUGUUGAAUUGCAGCGUCCUAGGAAGUAGUCACUCCUAAGGGUUGGUUUGUUCACCCAUUAAAGCUGUACAUGAUUUGAGUUAAAAGCGUGGUAACACAGCUUAGUUUCUAUCUACAAUGAUAAACAUAGAUAUUUUGUUUUUUAGUACGAAAGGAUCAAAAAUUAAUAGUUCUCUAAAGACAACUAUUCUUUAAAUUAGGAUUGCUUCUAAAAAAAAAAAGAAAUAUUUUUUGUUUGGUUUUAUUUUAGAAAAAAAAGAAAUAAUUUUUGUUUGGUUUUAUUU